AGUGAACGCUGGCGGUAGGCCUAACACAUGCAAGUCGAACGAGUGGCGGACUGGUGAGGAAUACAUCGGAAUCUACUUUGUCGUGGGGGAUACCGUAGGGAAAAUUACGCUAAUACCGCAUACGAUUGACUGAGCCGAUGUCUGAGUAGCUAGUUGGAGGGGUAAAGGCACACCAAGGAGACGAUCCGUAGCUGGUCUGAGAGGAUGAUCAGCCACACUGGAACUGAGACACGGUCCAGAAGCCUACGUGAGGCAGAAGUGGGAAAUUUUGUACAAUGGGCGCAAGCCUGAUCCAGCCAGACCGAGUGGUUGAAGAAGGCCUUCGGGUUGUAAAGCCCUUUUGGUGGGAAAGCGGUACCCAAAGAAUAAGCACCGGCUAACUUCGUGCCAGCAGCCGCGGUAAUAC
rnacentral:rRNA from 1 species